UAGCCAAGGAUGACUUGCCUACUCCAUUUGAUAAUAUUUUUUAUUUGGUUGUAGGCAAGUUAUCCUGGCUAUC